AGCUGGGGUGAGGGUUUGGCAUUCUCUUGUGAACUUCUGACCUUUCCUGUCUCACUUGUCUAUCUGCCACCCAAAGACAGCAUUGUCUUACCCCGGGGCACCAUGCUGAUUCACAAAGAGGGUGAAAAGCCCGUGGGGUCACAGGUGGGCAUGACCACACUCACCUGCAGCUGCCUGGGUCUGGAGAUUAAGUCCUGGGCUCGUGGGCUCCGUGACUCAGGCAGCACAAGCUGUUGCCUGCUUGUGGUCCAGGCUGCCUGGCGCAUGUUCAGUGUUAGCAAAUGAGGGGCCCCUGUUCCAAGUGUGGAUUCAGGUGCCCUGGAGACCCUGAGCUGCUUUGUGAAGCCACUUUCAUUAGAGAAUAUAGAGUGAUCCAAGAAAGGCAACAUUUGGUUGGAAGAAAAGCAAAUUUGAAAGGAUCAGACGUAAGAAAUGAAGGUGGUUUCUUUACUCAUACUUGAAAUCUCACAAUCCAAGGUGAGAGCAAGAAGGACAGAUCCUUGCUGCUAAAUGUCUUCAGGAGAUGCCUGAAACUUUAUCACUUUCUAAUAUGUGGAUUUUGAAGUGAUUGGUCUCUGUCUACAUUCUUUUGUCCAAUCUUAAAAAAUUUUUUUAGUCAUUUUUAGUAGACACAAAGAACACAAUUUAGUGCCUUAAUUAAGCCCACAAUAAAGUUCUGACCUGUGUUUAAUAACCUUCAUGAUUGUGAUUGUUCCAUGUUCUAAUUAGGCAUAAAUGGUGAGCAGUUCCUAUAAAUUCCUGUAAUUGUUAUUACUUGUAUACUACCAAGGCAUAUUUUUAUUUUAUUUUAUUUUAUUUUUUUAUUUUUUGUCUUUUUGGCAUUUCUUGGGCCGCUCCUGCGGCAUAUGGAGGUUCCCAGGCUAGGGGUCUAAUCAGAGCUGUAGCCACCAGCCUAUGCCAGAGCCACAGCAACGCAGGAUCCGAGCCACGUCUGCAACCUACACCACAGCUCACGGCAAUGCCGGAUCGUUAACCCAUUAGCAAGGGCAGGGAUCGAACCUGCAACCCCAUGGUUCCUAGUUGGAUUCGUUAACCACUGCGCCAUGACGGGAACUCCAACCAAGGCAUAUUUUUAUGACAUUUUUGCUUAUAAUUUCUUAGCUUGGAGUGGCCUAUAAAGUACGAUUGUCACAAUUUAAAUUUCAUUAAGCACAGUGUGUAUAUUCUGAUCCUUCAAGAAGUGGAUGCUAAGGUGGAAUUAGGUGCGUUGGAGAUUUGCAAGGAAAAUGGCUGUGAAGGAUAAAGGGGCAGGGGCAGGACCAGUCUGGGGAAGACUUCAGACUAAGAUGCAGCCUGACACUUGUUAAGGACAGGAGUCAAGAAAGAAGACUGGAUGGGAAGAAUCCCUGACUGCAUAGAAGUUUCGAGAAAGGUUUGGCCAGGCUGGCGGAGGAGGGGGAAGUGCAGAGCCCAAGGCACCUGUCAGAGGAGUCCUGACUCUCGCAGCAACAGGCCUGCAUAAAUUGUCCACUCGGCUUGGUCACUGGCUGGGAGCAGCCUGCUGGAAGCAUUGCCUGGACUUGACCAUGGUGGUAGAUCCAGCAGGGCCAUCAGUCAGCUAUGCUCCCUGUAGCAGGAGAGCUGAGCCAAGUGUUUUCCCGGUCAUACUAUAUAGACUUAAUGCAAAUUCAAAUGCACGGAUACCUCUGCAGUCAGUUCCUGGGGUCCCCUAUUCCCACCCCCUUGCCAAUUUCUCAGAUCUGAGAUGCUCUCAGGGUUUUCCCACAGAAUUGGUCCUGGGCUGUGGAUUCUGCUUUCUGUCUCUGGGGAAAAAGCGAGGCCCUGAUGUGCUGGUUCUGUAAGGAUUUCUAGGACAAGGGCAUGGUUUUCCUAUGUGAGGGAAGGGGGGAAGGUUGAGAGAGCACACUAGAUUUUUGGCUUUGGGGAGUCUUGGAUUGGAGGGAGGAUUUGGUAGACCCAGAAUCUGUGUUGGGAGCGAGAGCUGUGGUUGGAAGAGGCAGAUGGAGCAUUUGCCAGAACGAGGCCACCAACAGUCACAGAGGGUGGGCUUGUCAUUCCAGAGGGAAUAUGGAGAAAUUCUGAGGGGUCCAUGUGUCCUGAUCCCUGCCAGGCACCCUUCCAUGACCAGGGUGUGCUAAGCCUGUUUUCACACCCUGUCACCAAAUAACUCCUUAGCUGCCAGCUGAUGUCUAAAACUCCUUUAGCUGUUAUAAAGCUUUUUAUUCCAUAAUUAGAAAGCUUUAAAGGAAUCCUCUGGUUUACUAUGCUGAAGUCAAUCCUCAUAGCUAGGUAUGUCUGUCCCUCUUUAGACUAGGAGUUAUUUUGGUACAGAGACCAUGUUUUUUGCUAUCCAAUUUCCGGAACCUACAAAAUCCCUGGUACAAAAUAGAUUCUCAAUACUUUUUUUUGUUGUUGAAUUGAAUGGAAUUGAGUAGAUACAGAUACUUCUGAGAGAAGUACCAUAGCAACCAAGAUGGGUCACAUCCAAGUGGAUAAAUAUGUGGGAGUGCAAAACUGGGGACCUUCGGAUGUCUGAAUUCAAGUGUCAAUUCCAGGACACUCUACCUAUGAGACUGUGGAUCAAUGUUUUAUCCUUUCUGCAUUUUAAUUUCAUUCUUACAAAAUGAGGCCGAAGCCCCUUUCCCUAAUAAACUAGCAUUCCUGUGAGUAUCAAAUGAUAAAGGACUCUGAAGUAUAAAAGUGAUGUGUAAAAUUAUAUUAUUUUUCUUAUUUUGGGGGGUACUUAGGAUUGAAUUUAAAGGUAGUCAAUGCUUGGAACCAGGAGAGAGUAUGGUGAGAGGGGUUUUAACGAUACCCCAAACUGCCUGGGCAUGGAGGUAUUUUAGGCCAUGCAGCACUGUAAUUGCCAAUUGCAGGAAAUUCAAGAUUAAGAAAAAACACUGUAACUCUAUUAUACAAAACAUGAAGUAAUCCAUGGUUCACAUCUGAAAGGCAAUUCCUCUAGUAGCUUUUAUGCUUUCUAUAAACAGGAAUAAAUGCUAUUCACUCAAUAUACUUGCUUUAAUAAUAAAUCCUAUAAACAACAUAGCCACCCUUUUAUUGCUGGAGAAUAGUGUUUAACUGAAGUAACCUACUAUUGUUGAGGUAUUUAUGGUUUACCAAAUAUUUUUCUGUACAUUACGAUUUUGAUUCAUCAUAAUUACUCUGGAAAAGGAGCCUAAGAAAGAGUUUUCAUGACAUUUCAUCACUUAGUAGUUUAGAGCUGUUAAAGGAAUUUUAUGAAAAAAAAAAUUGGGAGGUGGUUAAAAUCUUGGGGUCAGAUAGACCUGGUUUAUUUUAUUUUAUUUAUUUUAUUUUAGUCUUUUUAGGGCCACACCUGUGGCAUAUGGAGGUUCCCAGGCUAGGGGUUGAAUUGGUGUUGUACCUGACGGCCUACACCACAGCUCACAGCAACACCGGAUCCUUAACCCAUUGAGUGAGGCCUGGGAUAGAACCUGCAUCCUCAUGGAUGCUAGUUAGAUUUGUUUCUGCUGAGCCACGGCAGGAAUUCCUAGACCUGGUUUAAUCGAGGGUUUUGCAACAUGCUAGCUGGGUGACCUUGGAAAGUAAAUAACUUAUCUCAGGCCCAGUUUCCUGUUCUGCAAAAUGAAGGCUUAACUAUUACUGAAAUAUUUCCUAGAGAAAUGCAAUAGCUCCGCAUUUGGAUUUCAAAGAGGGAAAAGGAUCUUGACUUGGGGAUGGACCCCAAGGGCUUUUCCAAGUAGAAAUGCUGACAUUAGAUGAGCUGAUGGGGAGGCAUUGAACUUCUUAACACAGAGACUGUCUCAUACUAUACAUUCAAUUAAUGUCUAAUUUUAGCUUUAAAAUAGUUUACAAAGUGUUUUCACAUACUUUGCUCAGUGUUCCCAGUAACCUCAUAAAGCUUUUCUUUCCAAAUGAAGAGCUAAUGCUUAGAGAGCUUAUCAUUUGCCCCUGUUACAUACGAGCCACGUCUUACACCCGGCUCGGCUUCAGUGAUGACCACUGCCUGUCGCAGUCAGGGAAACUCAUCACCAACUGCGGCUAUUAAGAAAAAAAGGUGGGGGCGGUUGGGAAAGGGGGAUCCUGGAGCAUGGACAAUCUACUAAAGAAUGAGAAGAUCCUUUGCUGAAGGAUGAGUGAAGUUAAACGGAAAGGACUCUAGUUUCUGUUUUCUCUUUUCUUCAGCUUCAAUGAGCAGAUCUAUGACCUGAGGGUGUUUCUAAGGCCUUUAUAAACUCUUAGCAUUUGUGUUAUUUGAUCAUUUGUGGCACACAUGGAAUUUAAAGCAAAUGAAUCAUUUUGGUUAGUUGAUAUUUUAAGUAGCAUUCAAGUUCAUUUAUUUUCUGUCGUAGAAGUUAUGUUAUUACUAAAAUUUUGAAAAGCAAUAUAGGAUCUUUAAGAUAGGUAACAAUAUAAGUGAUUUUCUUUUCCAGACACAAUCUCUAUUAUCAUUUCAGUGCCUUUGACCUUUAUUUUACUGUGUGCAAGUCUAUCAUGGUUUGAAACCCAGCUUUACAUUUUUUGGACAUGAUUUUGUAUAGCAAUGACAGGGAGAUUGUCUUCUGGUAAUUUUGGUAUUGUUGGUUUGGGAGGAGUUUUGAGGGUCAUGUUAACGUACUGAUGUGUGCAAAUAUACAGGGCAAGUUAAUUCAGGUGUAAGAGGCUCGUGGUGCAAUCAGAAAACAGGAAAACAGGAGAAGGAGGCUGCCAUGAGGAGAGGAGCAGUGGACGGGACUCCCCUGGAGUGCAGAUCAGGAUCACUGAGAGGGACAGGUCACGCCCUAUCCACCUGGGGAAUAACAUGGUGAGCCAAAAAACCAUGAACUUCUACAAAGUGAGAAUGAGUAGGUGAGGUCAAGAGAAAGAUCAUGAGGGAGUUCCUGUUGUGCUCAGUGGGUUAAGAAUCCAACUAGUAUCCAUGAGCCUCCCUCAGUGGGCUAAGGAUCUGUGUUUGCCACAAGCUGUGGUGUAGGUUGAAGACACAGCUUGGAUCCGGCAUCUCUGUGGCUGUGGUAUAGGCAGGCAGCUGCAGCUCCAAUUUGCCCCCUAGCCUGGGAACUUCCAUAUG
rnacentral:lncRNA from 1 species